AGAGUUUGAUUAUGGCUCAGGAUGAACGCUGGCGGCGUGCUUAACACAUGCAAGUCGAACGGGGUACCCAUGACAGAGGCUUCGGCCAAUUGAUUGGAAUACCUAGUGGCGGACGGGUGAGUAACGCGUGAGCAAUCUGCCUUGGAGUGGGGAAUAACAGUUGGAAACAGCUGCUAAUACCGCAUAAUACAGUUGUGUCGCAUGGCACUGACUGUCAAAGAUUUAUCGCUCUGAGAUGAGCUCGCGUCUGAUUAGCUAGUUGGUGAGGUAACGGCUCACCAAGGCGACGAUCAGUAGCCGGACUGAGAGGUUGGCCGGCCACAUUGGGACUGAGACACGGCCCAGACUCCUACGGGAGGCAGCAGUGGGGAAUAUUGGGCAAUGGGCGCAAGCCUGACCCAGCAACGCCGCGUGAAGGAAGAAGGCUUUCGGGUUGUAAACUUCUUUUCUGAAGGACGAUAGUGACGGUACCUCAAGAAUAAGCCACGGCUAACUACGUGCCAGCAGCCGCGGUAAUACGUAAGUGGCAAGCGUUAUCCGGAUUUACUGGGUGUAA
rnacentral:rRNA from 1 species